AUUGAACGCUGGCGGCAGGCCUAACACAUGCAAGUCGAGCGAGCGGCGGACGGGUGAGUAAUGUAUGGGGACUGCCCGAUAGAGGGGGAUAACUACUGGAAACGGUGGCUAAUACCGCAUACUAUCGGAUAACCCAUAUUGGAUUAGCUAGUGGGGGGGGUAAAGGCUCACCUAGGCGACGAUCGCUAGCUGGUCUGAGAGGAUGAUGAGCAACACGGGGACUGGGACACGGCCCAGACUCCUACGGAGGAAGCAGUGGGGAAUAUUGCACAAUGGGCGAAAGCCGGAUGCAGCCAUGCCGCUUGUAUGAAGAAGGCCUUAGGGUUGUAAAGUACUUUCAGCGGGGAGGCGUUACCCGCAGAAGAAGCACCGGCUAACUCCGUGCCAGCAGCCGCGGUAAUUC
rnacentral:rRNA from 1 species